UGAAAUUGAUCUCCCCGUGCAGAAGCGGGGAUAAUACCAUAAGACGAGAAGACCCUAUGGAGCUUUAGACGUCAGAGCAGCCCAUGUAAAGCACCCCUUAACAAAGGAAAAAACCAAAUGAAGCCUGCCCUAAUGUCUUUGGUUGGGGCGACCGCGGGGAAAUACAAAACCCCCAUGUGGAGUAGGAAUACACAUUCCUAAACCCAAGAGCUCCCGCUCUAAUGAACAGAAAUUCUGACCAAUAAGAUCCGGCACACGCCGAUCAACGGACCGAGUUACCCUAGGGAUAACAGCGCAAUCCCCUUAAAGAGCCCUUAUCGACAAGGGGGUUUACGACCUCGAUGUUGGAUCAGGACAUCCUAAUGGUGCAGCCGCUAUUAAGGGUUCGUUUGU
rnacentral:rRNA from 1 species